CGGAAAGUUAGCGGCGGACGGGUGAGUAACACGUAGGUAACCUGCCUGUAAGACUGGGAUAACAUUCGGAAACGAAUGCUAAUACCGGAUACGCGGUUUGAUCGCAUGGUCGAACCGGGAAAGACGGAGCAAUCUGUCACUUACAGAUGGACCUGCGGCGCAUUAGCUAGUUGGUGAGGUAACGGCUCACCAAGGCGACGAUGCGUAGCCGACCUGAGAGGGUGAUCGGCCACACUGGGACUGAGACACGGCCCAGACUCCUACGGGAGGCAGCAGUAGGGAAUCUUCCGCAAUGGACGAAAGUCUGACGGAGCAACGCCGCGUGAGUGAGGAAGGCCUUCGGGUCGUAAAGCUCUGUUGCCAGGGAAGAACGGAUGGAGGAGUAACUGCCUUCAUCAUGACGGUACCUGAGAAGAAAGCCCCGGCUAACUACGUGCCAGCAGCCGCGGUAAUACGUAGGGGGCAAGCGUUGUCCGGAAUUAUUGGGCGUAAAGCGCGCGCAGGCGGCUUUGUAAGUCGGGUGUUUAAACUUGGGGCUCAACCUCAAGUCGCAUCCGAAACUGCAAGGCUUGAGUACAGAAGAGGAAAGUGGAAUUCCACGUGUAGCGGUGAAAUGCGUAGAGAUGUGGAGGAACACCAGU
rnacentral:rRNA from 1 species